CCCAGACUCCUACGGGAGGCAGCAGUGAGGAAUAUUGGUCAAUGGGCUUACGCCUGAACCAGCCAAGUCGCGUGAGGGAAGACUGCCCUAUGGGUUGUAAACCUCUUUUGUCAGGGAGCAAUUGGCGCUACGUGUAGCGUUAUCGAGAGUACCUGAAGAAAAAGCAUCGGCUAACUCCGUGCCAGCAGCCGCGGUAAUACGGAGGAUGCGAGCGUUAUCCGGAUUUAUUGGGUUUAAAGGGUGCGUAGGCGGAAUGCCAAGUCAGCGGUCAAAUUGCGGGGCUCAACCCCGUACUGCCGUUGAAACUGCAUCCCUUGAGUGCGCGAGAAGUAUGCGGAAUGCGUGGUGUAGCGGUGAAAUGCAUAGAUAUCACGCAGAACUCCGAUUGCGAAG
rnacentral:rRNA from 1 species